rnacentral:rRNA from 1 species
CUACGGGCCGCACCAGCUGAGGAUUUUUUACAAUGCACGAAAGUGUGAUAAAGCGAGCCAGAGUGUUGUUCUUAGAACAACUUUUAUUUGCUGUAAAAAGGCAGAUGAAUAAGGACUGGGUAAGACCGGUGCCAGCCGCCGCGGUAAUACCGGCGGUCCAAGUUGCAUCCAUUUUUAUUGGGUCUAAAACAUCCGUAGCUUGCUUUGUAAGUUUCUUGUGAAAUCUCAUGUCUCAAGCAUGAGGCUUGCAAGAAAUACUGCAUAGCUAGAGACCGGAAGACGUAAGGAGUAUGAUUGAGGUAGCGGUAAAAUGUGUUAAUCUUAAUCAGACUAACAACGGCGAAGGCACCUUACGAGUACGGAUCUGACAGUGAGGGAUGAAGGCUAGGGGCGCAAAACGGAUUAGAUACCCGCGUAGUC